GAAAACGUAACUCUCCCGGCAUCAAGCACUCGACCACUUCCCCCCGCGACUCCGCGAGCGCCCAAAGUUUCGCCUCGUUUCUCAAGAUCCCUCAAGAUGUGGUCCGGAGGGUUGUGGCCUCAAGAGCUUCACAACAGGGAGUUGUAUCUCAUAUUUUAGUUUUUAUUCAUGAAGUGACAUAUUAGCAGCGAGUUGUAUCUCAUAUUUUACUUGUUUUUUUUUCAUGAAGUGGUAUAUUAGCAGGGAGUUGUACCUCAUAUUUUAGUUUUGGGCAGUGCUCUCCGCCGGCGCGUCCGCACCGUUGGUUCUUUAUGUAAUAUUUUUUUUCGAUGCAGCAAAAAUUCGAUGCGAUGCAG
rnacentral:lncRNA from 1 species